GAGGCAGAGGUUGCAGUGAGCCGAGAUCACGCCACUGCGCUCCAGCCUGGGCGACUGAGCAGGACUCCGUCUCAAAAAAAAAAAAAAAAAAAAAUGCUAUCAUUUACUUAGGGCUUACAGUAGCCCUGGUAUAGCCCUUAUUUAAUGCUCACCUCAACCUUGUAUGGGCUCCAUUUUCCCCCAUUCUACACACAAUUAAACUGAGGCACGGAA
rnacentral:lncRNA from 1 species